CUCACUCCCGAUCCCGACCCCAUCUCUCUCCAGGAAAAGUCGCCGCUGCCGCCGGAUAUGCUCGUCGCCCCGCCACCUUUCCAUCCGCUGCCACGCGCCUUUCUGGAUCAAGGUGAGGGAUGCCUCCCGUCCCGUGCGCCCGCCUUGGAAGAGAGAGGGGGAGAGAAAGACAGAGAUAAGAGAGAGGGAGGGGCGGACAGCGGCGGCGCUGGCCUAAUCGCCGACAGAGGAAGAUGAGGUUGUGGUUCCAAAGCGUGACGGCUCGGCGCUGCUGAUUCACGGCUGUCGACUUCCUUGUUUGCUUCUGGCUGCGGGCGCGGCGCACCUUGCCUUCAUGUCACCAAGAAGGUCUGCAGUCCAUCAUCAUCCGACGUAAAACUUCAGGGCGGCCACCAGAAAGAUCAUGAUAUGCCGCCAUUAUGCAGGAGCUCUCGGUUAUGAAGGAAAAAUCUGCUUCCCAAUCAAGCAGUUCAUCAACAACAAUGCCAAGAUUAAUAAUAAGUUCAACAAGGAAGCCAAACAACUUUUUAUAGUGUGCACUCUCACAAGUAUUAUGGCCUGGUAAACAAGAAGGCGGCCAACUGCUUGUAAAGAGAAACCGAUAAGGAGAGCUCGACAUGUAAGGUGAUUAUCGCUUCUCUUUGAUUUCUUUCAGCAUGAACGUAGAUGUGCAAAUUCAGAUAACUUUUAUUGUCUGUGUCGCUUCAAUACAGAUUUUAUUAUCUGUUCAUCUUUCUAACUUUAACCAGUGGUUUGGUUGUAGACCGGCAGCAAACUGUAGUACAAUAAAUCAGGUAAUUAAUUUGUUGUUUUACCGCAUUCUGGUAUCAACUACUAAGCAAAGUAGUACAAUAAACAAUUUUGGCUUGCAUCGAUUUUUCUUGUUACUAUGUCUUUUUUGAAAGGACAAAUUAGUUUUAAAGUUAAUUUUAUUUUUCACCAUUUGACAUGUUAAUAUUUUUGUCGUGUACUGAUAUACUCCCUCCAUCCCAAUAUAAGUGUCUUUGAUUUAAUAAACUUUACAAAAUUGUACUAAAUCAAAGAUGCUUAUUUUGAGAUGGAGGGAGUGCUUGCCUUGCGUUUUUCCUUUCUUUUAGUGCUAGGAAAAAACAAAUGUCGGUUGAUAUGCUCUUGAUAUGGCCCUGCUAAGUACAAUUAACUUCGUUUUAAAAAAUCACACAUAUAUUCUGAUUCAUAAUAGCAUUGUAGGCAAAGGGUUGGAACACGCGGUGUUUAAAAUUUAGACAAUAAUUUUUAGUAUAGUAUUCCGAGGAUUGGACAACAAUUUUUAGUAUAGUAUUCCGAGGACUACUAGAUGGUUUAAGGUGACAGCUUCGGAUCCCAAAAAUGUGUGUGAGGAGUCUCCAAACGCGCGCUACAGGCUACAUCCUUAGGUUUAGUCGUCUAUUCUAGCUUAAUCGUGUAUAGACCAUUCCAUUAGUGAUAUUGAUCCCUCCGUUCAUUUUUAUAAGGCGUUUAAAACAACUGGCUUUGAACUGUUUAGAACACUGUCUGAACAGGCUUAAACGUCUUAUAUAAGUGAACAAGGAGAGUAGUAGUUAUCACGAGGAAUCCCUCAUAUCUGGAUUGAGAAUUUGCUAUUAUGAGAUUUUUCAUCCAUGUCGUGCUCUACUCAAUUGGCAUACUAGGCAACCUGUACAUGGCCAAAAAAGAUCUGACCGCCGAAUCCCGUCCUCGAGCAGGCUUAGGAAUUGAAGAUACCUAGACUCCCAUGAGGUGGGUAUCAUCAGGUAAAGCUAUGUUAUGAACAGCGAC